AGGGAAUAUUGCAAAAUGGGUGAAAGCCCGAUGCAGCAACGCCGCGUGGGCGAUGAAGGCCUUCGGGUCGUAAAGCCCUUUUUGAGGGGAUGAGGAAGGACAGUACCCUCAGAAUAAGCCUCGGCUAACUACGUGCCAGCAGCCGCGGUAAAACGUAGGAGGCGAGCGUUAUCCGGAUUUACUGGGCGUAAAGCGCGUGCAGGCGGAUUGGAGAGUUGGAUGUGAAAGCUCCCGGCUUAACUGGGAGAGGUCGUUCAAUACUUCCAGUCUUGAGUGCAGUAGAGGGAAGUGGAAUUCCGGGUGUAGUGGUGAAAUGCGUAGAUAUCCGGAGGAACACCAGUGGCGAAAGCGGCUUCCUGGACUGUAACUGACGCUCAGACGCGAAAGCUAGGGUAGCAAACG
rnacentral:rRNA from 1 species